GCAGGGCUUGCAGUUGUCGAGCUUCCUCUCGAACAAGAAAGUCUCAACGCCGCCUCUGGCGAGAGUUUCGGCUGCCGAUCCUCCAGCGGGACCGCCGCCGACCACCGCGACUCUGAGGUUCCGGCCGGCGAUUUUAGGGCUGGUUUUAGCAGCGGCGACAUAAAAUCGGCGCCGAAAUUGGGGGUUCGGGUUGGCCUUCGUUUGGGUGACGAAAUGGGGCUUCUCCGUCGAGGAUUGGCGGAGGCCGGUGAAGGUUUUGAGAGCUACGGAGGCCAUUUUGUCGAGCACGGGGAGUGAAG
rnacentral:misc_RNA from 1 species